UUGGAGGGCAAGUCUGGUGCCAGCAGCCGCGGUAAUUCCAGCUCCAAUAGCGUAUAUUAAAGUUGUUGCAGUUAAAAAGCUCGUAGUUGAAUUUCGGGAUCAGAGUGUCGGUCGUGCCUCGGUACGCACUGGUAUUAUUGGUUCCUACCUUCUGAAGAACCGCGAUGUCAUUAAUUUGGUGUCGUGGGGAAUCAGGACUGUUACUUUGAAAAAAUUAGAGUGUUUAAAGCAGGCUUACGCUUGAAUACAUUAGCAUGGAAUAAUGAAAUAGGACGUUUGAUUCUAUUUUGUUGGUUUCUAGGAUUGACGUAAUGAUUAAUAGGGAUAGUUGGGGGCAUUAGUAUUCAAUUGUCAGAGGUGAGAUUCUUGGAUUUAUUGAAGACUAACUACUGCGAAAGCAUUUGCCAAGGAUGUUUUCAUUAAUCAAGAACGAAGGUUAGGGGAUCGAAGACGAUCAGAUACCGUCGUAGUCUUAACCAUAAACUAUGCCGACUAGGGAUCGGAUGAUGUUAAUUUUUUAAUGACUCAUUCGGCGCCUUACGGGAAACCAAAGUGUUUGGGUUC
rnacentral:rRNA from 1 species